rnacentral:rRNA from 1 species
CUACGUAGGGGGCGAGCGUUGUCCGGAAUGACUGGGCGUAGAGGGCGUGUAGGCGGCGGUGUAAGUCUGGAGUGAAAGUCCCGCAUUCAAUGUGGGAAUUGCUUUGGAUACUGCAGUGCUAGAGUGCGGAAGAGGUAAGUGGAAUUCCCAGUGUAGCGGUGAAAUGCGUAGAGAUUGGGAGGAACACCAGUGGCGAAGGCGACUUACGGGGCCGUAACUGGCGCUGAGGCGCGAAAGCGUGGGGAGCGAACAGGAUUAGAUACCCUGGUAGUCCACGCGGUAAACGAUGAAUGCUAGGUGUUGCGGGUAUCGACCCCUGCAGUGCCGGAGUAAACACAAUAAGCAUUCCGCCUGGGGAGUACGGCCGCAAGGUUGAAACUCAAAUGAAUUGGCGGGG